GGGGUGAUGUAUGUGUAUGAAAAAGUUUUAUGGGUACACUUAAAAUCAUGUGAUAUUGUGUACAUCUUGUUUCCUUAUUACCAUGUAUGAAUUAUAAUAUUUUGUGGGAUGCUUAUCAACACUCUUUGACCAAGAGUGUGGGUAGGAGGGCAAUGAGAGUUCUCUUCCAUUGUUGGAAGAGAAAGGUUUGGCUUAUAAAAAUAAAAACGUAAAUGAGGGUUGGAGUAUGUUGUAUGUGUGGUUGGGUUUUCAUUCAAGGGUGGUAUUAGGAGGAACAAUUUUGGCAAAAACACUAAAGGAAGAGGAAACUUGGUGCCUUGGGAUGAGAAGGGUGAAAGAUGAAGAGAUAUAAAAGAAGGAAAUGGAGGAUGGGACGUAAAUGUGUUGGAAUGGAAAAGGAAGAAAUAGUGAAGGUGUCCGCAUGGGUGUUGACGAAAAUAAGAAGAGAGAAAGUGUGGAUUUGGGUGUUUGAAAAAGUAAAAUGAAAGAGUAGAAAUGAAUAAGGGUGUUACGUAAGAUAAGAGUUAAGGUGUGAGAGUUUUAAAUGAAAAGUUGUAAAAAUAAGGGUGAAAGAGAGAGAAGAGUGUAUGUGUGAGUGGUGAGUGAGAACAAAAUGGGUAUUUUGAAUGGUGUUGAAAAGUCAAAGGAAAAGAAGGAAAUAAAGAAUGUGGAGUAUGUAAAUUGUGGUGCAGCGAGUGAAGGAAAAAAUAAAUAAAUAAAAGAGUAGGUGUGGUGGGGUCGUGAGUGUUGGUAGCAUAAGAUAGAAGAUUAAAUUGUAAAAAUAUUAGUGUGAAGAUGUGUGGAAGGAGGAGUUACAAAAUAAAAGUGGUAAAUAGAGAAAAAAGUUGCGUUUUAAAGUAAAAGGAGGAAAGAAGAAGGUUUAGUACCUAUUUUGGUCCCUCUUUUCAGGGGGUUUGUUCAAAGUGGUCCUUCCUUUUUUAAAAAGUUCACUAAAGUCUUACUUUUUGCAAAAACUGUGGAAGUUAGUCCUUUUUGCUAACGGCGUUAAGUCUGCUAACGGCAGAGUUGCCCAGUUGGCAAAUAUUUGAUGAGUUGUACAGAUUUUGUUGGCGUGGUAAUGUGACGUAAUUAUACGUGUUGAAAUCACUAACCUCACCAGCGCAACUACAGUUAUCACCGGAGCCAUGACCGGCCAUGGCGUCGUCGCUGCCUCUUACUCUUCUCUCGCGAGAGAUUGUCCUCUUCAUGAAUCGCCCCA
rnacentral:lncRNA from 1 species